rnacentral:rRNA from 2 species
UACACCGAAUGCUUGCAUUCACCGUAAGAAGUUGAGUGGCGGACGGGUGAGUAACACGUGGGUAACCUGCCUAAAAGAAGGGGAUAACACUUGGAAACAGGUGCUAAUACCGUAUAUCUCUAAGGAUCGCAUGAUCCUUAGAUGAAAGAUGGUUCUGCUAUCGCUUUUAGAUGGACCCGCGGCGUAUUAACUAGUUGGUGGGGUAACGGCCUACCAAGGUGAUGAUACGUAGCCGAACUGAGAGGUUGAUCGGCCACAUUGGGACUGAGACACGGCCCAAACUCCUACGGGAGGCAGCAGUAGGGAAUCUUCCACAAUGGACGCAAGUCUGAUGGAGCAACGCCGCGUGAGUGAAGAAGGUCUUCGGAUCGGUAAAACUCUGUUGUUAGAGAAGAACACGAGUGAGAGUAACUGUUCAUUCGAUGACGGUAUCUAACCAGCAAGUCACGGCUAACUACGUGCCAGCAGCCGCGGUAAUACGUAGGUGGCAAGCGUUGUCCGGAUUUAUUGGGCGUAAAGGGAACGCAGGCGGUCUUUUAAGUCUGAUGUGAAAGCCUUCGGCUUAACCGGAGUAGUGCAUUGGAAACUGGAAGACUUGAGUGCAGAAGAGGAGAGUGGAACUCCAUGUGUAGCGGUGAAAUGCGUAGAUAUAUGGAAGAACACCAGUGGCGAAAGCGGCUCUCUGGUCUGUAACUGACGCUGAGGUUCGAAAGCGUGGGUAGCAAACAGGAUUAGAUACCCUGGUAGUCCACGCCGUAAACGAUGAAUGCUAGGUGUUGGAGGGUUUCCGCCCUUCAGUGCCGCAGCUAACGCAAUAAGCAUUCCGCCUGGGGAGUACGACCGCAAGGUUGAAACUCAAAGGAAUUGACGGGGGCCCGCACAAGCGGUGGAGCAUGUGGUUUAAUUCGAAGCAACGCGAAGAACCUUACCAGGUCUUGACAUCCUUUGACCACCUAAGAGAUUAGGCUUUCCCUUCGGGGACAAAGUGACAGGUGGUGCAUGGCUGUCGUCAGCUCCUGUCGUGAGAUGUUGGGUUAAGUCCCGCAACGAGCGCAACCCUUGUUGUCAGUUGCCAGCAUUAAGUUGGGCACUCUGGCGAGACUGCCGGUGACAAACCGGAGGAAGGUGGGGACGACGUCAAGUCAUCAUGCCCCUUAUGACCUGGGCUACACACGUGCUACAAUGGACGGUACAACGAGUCGCAAGACCGCGAGGUUUAGCUAAUCUCUUAAAGCCGUUCUCAGUUCGGAUUGUAGGCUGCAACUCGCCUACAUGAAGUCGGAAUCGCUAGUAAUCGCGAAUCAGCAUGUCGCGGUGAAUACGUUCCCGGGCCUUGUACACACCGCCCGUCACACCAUGAGAGUUUGUAACACCCAAAGCCGG